rnacentral:tRNA from 1 species
GGUUCCGUAGCACAAUUGGUAGUGCGUCAGACUCCAGAUCUGAAGGUUGUCUGUUCGAGUCAGGCCGGGAUCA